UGGGGAAUAUUGCACAAUGGGCGCAAGCCUGAUGCAGCCAUGCCGCGUGUAUGAAGAAGGCCUUCGGGUUGUAAAGUACUUUCAGCGGGGAGGAAGGGAGUAAAGUUAAUACCUUUGCUCAUUGACGUUACCCGCAGAAGAAGCACCGGCUAACUCCGUGCCAGCAGCCGCGGUAAUACGGAGGGUGCAAGCGUUAAUCGGAAUUACUGGGCGUAAAGCGCACGCAGGCGGUUUGUUAAGUCAGAUGUGAAAUCCUCGGGCUCAACCUGGGAACUGCAUCUGAUACCGGCAAGCUUGAGUCUCGUAGAGGGGGGUAGAAUUCCAGGUGUAGCGGUGAAAUGCGUAGAGAUCUGGAGGAAUACCGGUGGCGAAGGCGGCCCCCUGGACGAAGACUGACGCUCAGGUGCGAAAGCGUGGGGAGCAAACAGG
rnacentral:rRNA from 1 species